rnacentral:rRNA from 1 species
UGGGGAAUAUUGCGCAAUGGGCGAAAGCCUGACGCAGCGACGCCGCGUGAGGGAUGAAGGUUUUCGGAUCGUAAACCUCUGUCAGAAGGGAAGAAACCGCACUGUGCUAAUCAGCAGUGCCUUGACGGUACCUUCAAAGGAAGCACCGGCUAACUCCGUGCCAGCAGCCGCGGUAAUACGGAGGGUGCAAGCGUUAAUCGGAAUUACUGGGCGUAAAGCGCACGUAGGCUGCUUUGUAAGUCAGGGGUGAAAUCCCACGGCUCAACCGUGGAACUGCCUUUGAUACUGCUUAGCUUGAAUCCGGGAGAGGGUGGCGGAAUUCCAGGUGUAGGAGUGAAAUCCGUAGAUAUCUGGAGGAACAUCAGUGGCUAAGGCGGCCACCUGGACCGGUAUUGACGCUGAGGUGCGAAAGCGUGGGGAGCAAACAGG